rnacentral:rRNA from 1 species
GAUGAACGCUGGCGGCGUGCUUAACACAUGCAAGUCGAACGAAGAAGAGUUGAAUGAGAGCUUCGGCAGGAUUUCUUCUCAUCUUAGUGGCGGACGGGUGAGUAACGUGUGGGCAACCUGCCCUAUACUGGGGAAUAAUCACUGGAAACGGUGACUAAUACCGCAUGUCAUCACCGGAGGGCAUCCUCUGGUGAAAAAAGGAGCAAUUCGGUAUGGGAUGGGCCCGCAUCUGAUUAGCUAGUUGGUGAGAUAACAGCCCACCAAGGCGACGAUCAGUAGCCGGCCUGAGAGGGUGAACGGCCACAUUGGGACUGAGACACGGCCCAGACUCCUACGGGAGGCAGCAGUGGGGAAUAUUGCACAAUGGGGGAAACCCUGAUGCAGCGACGCCGCGUGGAGGAAGAAGGUCUUCGGAUUGUAAACUCCUGUUGUCAAGGACGAUAAUGACGGUACUUGACAAGAAAGCCACGGCUAACUACGUGCCA